UUCCGAUAAAGGUAAACCCUGAGUGAUUAGGGGGCGCAAAGUAAUAGGGUCUUGCUAAACCGUUGAAGCAUUUUAAACAACUGAAGCGGUUUUUUUCAAAAGACAGCCUUACUGCCAAA
rnacentral:ncRNA from 1 species